rnacentral:snRNA from 1 species
UUGCUUCAGCAGCACAUAUACUAAAAUGAAAAUAAUAUAGAGAAGUUUAGCAUGGCCUCUGCAGAAGGAUGACAUGCAAAUUUGUGAAGCGUUGCAUAUUAAA